CACGUAGGGUGCGAGCGUUGUCCGGAAUUAUUGGGCGUAAAGAGCUCGUAGGCGGUGUGUCGCGUCGGCCGUGAAAACCUGCAGCUUAACUGUGGGCUUGCGGUCGAUACGGGCAUCACUGGAGUUCGGCAGGGGAGACUGGAAUUCCUGGUGUAGCGGUGAAAUGCGCAGAUAUCAGGGAGGAACACCGGUGGGCGGAAGGCGGGUCUCCUGGGC
rnacentral:rRNA from 1 species